GAUGAACGCUGGCGGCGUGCUUAACACAUGCAAGUCGAACGAUGAAGCCCAGCUUGCUGGGUGGAUUAGUGGCGAACGGGUGAGUAACACGUGAGUAACCUGCCCUUAACUCUGGGAUAAGCCUGGGAAACUGGGUCUAAUACCGGAUAGGAGCGUCCACCGCAUGGUGGGUGUUGGAAAGAUUUAUCGGUUUUGGAUGGACUCGCGGCCUAUCAGCUUGUUGGUGAGGUAAUGGCUCACCAAGGCGACGACGGGUAGCCGGCCUGAGAGGGUGACCGGCCACACUGGGACUGAGACACGGCCCAGACUCCGACGGGAGGCAGCAGUGGGGAAUAUUGCACAAUGGGCGCAAGCCUGAUGCAGCGACGCCGCGUGAGGGAUGACGGCCUUCGGGUUGUAAACCUCUUUCCGUAGGGAAGAAGCGAAAGUGACGGUACCUGCAGAAGAAGCACCGGCUAACUACGUG
rnacentral:rRNA from 1 species